rnacentral:pre_miRNA from 1 species
AGGGGAGGCCGGAUCCUGGGCUGUGUCCCGGCGCCCUGUGCUCCGGGGCCUGCGCUGUUGGAUUCGCGCUCCCGCCCCGCAGCCCCCU